UGAACGCUGGCGGCAUGCCUAACACAUGCAAGUCGAACGGAAACGAUGGGAGCUUGCUCCCAGGCGUCGAGUGGCGGACGGGUGAGUAAUACUUAGGAAUCUGCCCAUUAGUGGGGGACAACUAGAAGAAAUUCUAGCUAAUACCGCAUACGCCCUACGGGGGAAAGCGGGGGAUCUUCGGACCUCGCGCUAAUGGAUGAGCCUAAGUCGGAUUAGCUUGUUGGUGAGGUAAUGGCUCACCAAGGCGACGAUCCGUAGCUGGUCUGAGAGGACGAUCAGCCACACUGGGACUGAGACACGGCCCAGACUCCUACGGGAGGCAGCAGUUGGGAAUAUUGGACAAUGGGCGCAAGCCUGAUCCAGCAAUGCCGCGUGUGUGAAGAAGGCCUGCGGGUUGUAAAGCACUUUCAGUAGAGAAGAAAAGCCUACGGUUAAUAGCCGUAAGUCUUGACGUAACCUACAGAAGAAGCACCGGCUAACUCC
rnacentral:rRNA from 1 species